rnacentral:sRNA from 1 species
GUCGUCAGCCUGUUGCGUUACACGCUAAAAUAACCAAACGGACUACAGAAACUUUAACAAAAGCAUAUCCUGUGGUCUGGAUUAUAGACAGUUAAAAUUUGAAAAGUGAAACCCAUAGAGAAACAAAGAAAAUAAACAAAAAUUCUGAUUUAAAGUGUUUACAGUGAAAAGAAGUUUAGGAAAAAAGUAAAAAAAAACGCUGGCUGGAAAAUUGCAUAGGUCCAUUUAACGUGAUUAAUAAGUGAAUUUCAUACUUGAGUGCUUCUGACGACAAACAAAACAAAAUCAGCGAAGUGAAAAGCUUGAAUAGCUGAGUCUUAAAUUGAACCUCCCGUUUUGAGAAAAUAUCAUCCAAGGCGCCAAUUCAAAAUUAGCCUGUGUGCCGCUUAUCCAUUCGAUUGCAGACGCUGCCGCUCUCGCAUUCACCAACGUUUAUUGGAUUAAUUUAUCACCCAUCAUUUAUUUCGCUAUGAAAGCCACAACGUGGUUAUGUCCAGUCUUAACUUUAUUGUGUGCCACAAAACUCGUCUACACAGCACAAAGAGGCAGUUAUGGCAGCUAUCAUCCGAGUGUGGAAGGCUUGGACAGCAGUGCG